UGGGGAAUCUUGCGCAAUGGGCGAAAGCCUGACGCAGCGACGCCGCGUGGGUGAUGAAGGCCUUCGGGUUGUAAAGCUCUGUGGGGAGAGACGAAUAAGACGUGGCUAACAUCCACGGCGAUGACGGUAUCUCCUUAGCAAGCACCGGCUAACUCUGUGCCAGCAGCCGCGGUAAGACAGAGGGUGCAAACGUUGUUCGGAAUUACUGGGCGUAAAGCGUGUGUAGGCGGCCAGGUAAGUUGGAUGUGAAAGCCCGGGGCUCAACCCCGGAAGUGCAUUCAAAACUGCUUGGCUUGAGUAUCGGAGAGGUUGGUGGAAUUCUCGGUGUAGAGGUGAAAUUCGUAGAUAUCGAGAGGAACACCGGUGGCGAAGGCGGCCAACUGGACGAAUACUGACGCUGAGACACGAAAGCGUGGGGAGCAAACAGG
rnacentral:rRNA from 1 species